rnacentral:tRNA from 1 species
GCCAGGGUAGCUCAGUUGGUAGAGCGCGUGUCUGAAAAACACGAGGUCACCGGAUCGUCCCCGGUCCCUGGCACCA